rnacentral:rRNA from 1 species
AUGGCCAACAGAAAGAAUGUCAUGGCCAUGUUAUUUCUCACCACCAUUGUGGCGGUGGCGGCCACAAGGCCAGCCGAGACCUAUGGCGUUGCGGAGGAGAACACAUUGAAGAUGGCUACCCCCAGCAGGAAAGGGGUUGACGCUACCUUAGCAACUACACGUGUUGUUGCCGCCGAGAAGUCCAUCAAGAAGGCUGAAAGCGUCACCACACCAGAAGAGGCCGCGGCUGCCAAGCAAGAUGGAGCAAAAUCUGCUUCUGCUGCAUUAAAGUACAAUGCCAUCUCUCAGCAGGCAAAUGGUAAAGGUUCUUCUACCUCCCUAGGCAGGAAAGAAGCAGCCAAUACUUUAGCCGCCGCACACUAUGCCGCCACCGAGAAGUCCAUCAAGAAGGCCGAAACCACCAAGACACCUGCAAAGGUCGUGGCUGCCAAGCGAGACGCAGCAAAGUCUGUUGAUGAUGCAUUAAAGUAUGGUGCCAUCUCUCGGAAAGCAGCUGGUACAAGUUCUUCUACCUCCCCCAAUAAGAAAGAAGGCACCACUGAUGCUGCUAAGAUGUUCACCAAGAAGGCUGAAACCGCUACCACACCUGAAGAGGCCGCGGCUGCCAAGCAAGCUGCAGCCAAGUCUACCGCUGCUGCAUCAAAGUAUGGUGUCAUUUCUCAGCAAGUAGCUGGUACAAGUUCUUCUACCUCCCCUAGCAGGAAAGAAGCUGCCGGUACCUUGGCAGAUGCUCGCAUAGCUGCUGCCGAGAAGUCCAUCAAGAAGGCUGAAACCGCCACAAGACCUGAAGAGGCAGCAUCCGCUAAGAAGGAUGCCACAAAAUCCGAGGCUGAUGCAAUGAAGUACGGGGCCAUCUCUCAGCAGGCCGCCGGCAAAAAUGGUGCCUAA